CACGUAGGGCGCAAGCGUUGUCCGGAAUUAUUGGGCGUAAAGAGCUCGUAGGCGGUCUGUUGCGUCCGCUGUGAAAACUCGGGGCUUAACCCCGAGCCUGCAGUGGAUACGGGCAGACUAGAGGUAGGUAGGGGAGAAUGGAAUUCCCGGUGUAGCGGUGAAAUGCGUAGAGAUCGGGAGGAACACCAGUGGCGAAGGCGGCUACCUGGACCAGCACUGACACUGAGGCACGAAAGCGUGGGGAGCAAACAGG
rnacentral:rRNA from 1 species